rnacentral:lncRNA from 1 species
CUCCACUUUUUCAUGCAGAGAUUAAUUUCUCUAUGUGAUAAUAAGUAGCAUCGAAGAGUCCUUCAAAUAGAAAGACUCCUCCCCUUCUACAACCAAUAAAUCCCCAUAAAUAAGGCGUGUAAUAUAAAGAGGUGGAGAGGAAUAAAAGGCAGAGUGGAUAAUAGUUUUAAUGAAGAAGAACUCUCCUUCUUAACGCAUAAAAGGAUGGGCAACAUUUAUUUUUUGUGUGGG